rnacentral:rRNA from 1 species
GGCGGCUCGAGUGGUGGCCACUAUUACUGGGCUUAAAGCGUUCGUAGCUGGUUUGUUAAGUCUCUGGGGAAAUCUUCCGGCUUAACCGGAAGGCAUCUCAGGGAUACUGGCAGACUAGGGACCGGAAGAGGUGAGGGGUACUCCAGGGGUAGGAGUGAAAUCCUGUAAUCCUUGGGGGACCACCUGUGGCGAAGGCGCCUCACCAGGACGGCUCCGACAGUGAGGGACGAAAGCUGGGGGAGCAAACCG